GAGAGAGAGAGAGAGUAUAAUUCAGUCACCGUGAAGUCAUAUCCCAAACAAGAGUACUCCGAAUCACAUGUCCGAUAUAGAUCAAGUGGGAAAAAGGAAAAUAAGAUAAACAGAGAGGGAAAGAGGAAAGGGAAGAUGAUUUAACACAGAGGAAAGAAAAGACAGUUUAAAAGAGGGAAAAUAAUUCAGUUUAACAUAGAGGAAAGAGAAAAGAGUCUAAGAGAGAAGGAAGGAAAAAGGAAAGACAGGGAGGAGAGAGAUGACAAUCAAAUAUUUAUAAAAGGAAAGAAAAGAUAGUGUAACUGAGAGAGAAAAAAGGAAGACAUUUUAACAGAGAGGAAAAUGAAGACAGUUUAGCAGAGAGGAAAGAAAAAAAAAAAAAGAAGACAAUCCAACAGACAGAAGGAGAAGACAAUCAGAGAGAGGGCAGAAAAGAAGACAAUUUAACAAAGAGAAAAGGGAAGACAAUUUAACAAAGAGGACAAAAAAAAGACAGUCCAACAGGGAAAGAUAAAAAUAAAUACAUAUAUAACGGAGAAGAAAAGGAAAGGCAAUCCAGCAGAGAACAAAGAGAAGACAAUCGAACGAAGUAUUAUUAGAUACUUAGAAAGAGAGAGAGAAAAAAAGAAAGUGAGGCAAAAUGGAGGUGGACGAAAAAGAUAAAGGGAACAGAGAUGCGGGAGAAAGUGUUCCGUUGCAGCUGGGUGAGGCAUCAGGAGGAGAGAAGACAGAGGACACAGAAGAAAAGAGUCUCGAAAAAUCUUGCCCCUUAGAGGAAAAAGUUCAUUCUGAAAAUAAAUCACAAACAGUCGUGCAUGAGAUCAAGAUUACCGAAGAAAACCUGAACGACGAAGAGGAAUCCCAAGGAAUAAAAACAAAGGAAGGUAAGAAGAAUGAGAAGAAAGGUUUCAAGGUGGAAAAAAUUCAGUGUUUACCCGGAGAAAAGAAGGUAAUAGAGGAGAAAAUUGAGAUCGAAGAAAUAAUAAAAAUAUACCUAGAUUCUGUCGAAGAAAACUGUAUUGAGACCAAAAUUAUUCAGAGCAAGAGAGACGGCAGAGAAAAUUUAGACAUGGGAAACGUAAUUGACGAGAGACAGCGGCGAGACUUGAGAGAAGUAAAAGAACAUGUGGAGGAAACCGAAGAAAGAGAUGAGAGAGAAAACCUGAAAGAAAACACAACUUGGGAGAAGGAAAUAUUAGGAAAUAGAGUUGUAGUUCAGAGAGAGGAAUUAAGAUCUACCUGGGGGGAAGAAAGAGAGUUUGGUAUGAAAAUAGAGGGAAGAGAAGGAGAGACGUUCACGAAGAGGGUUUUACAUGAAAUUAUACCUGAAGAAAGUGACACGGACAAGGGAAGCGUGGAAGAUAAAGUAAUGAUGGUUCACUUUGAGAAGGAGGGAGGCACCGUCAAGAAAAAGGGAAGAAAGGAAAAGAAAGUCACCUGGAAGGAAAAGGAAGACGUGAAGAAAUGGAAACAGGAGAGAGUUUCCGCUAGAGAAGCUGAAAAAGUUGACAUAAGGAAAACAAAAAAGGAGAAAAAACUUGAAGGAAGAAUAGAAGGAAAAUUUCUGAGGAAAACAGAAGAAGAGAGAUUGGAGGAAGAGACGUCAAGACUAAAUAAGAAAGAAAACACAAGAAACGAGGUAGAUGUAGAGUACAUAGUCAAAGGAAAAACAGAUAAUAAAAUAAUCCGAAUAGAGACAGAAGAAGAAGAAAGAGAGAAAGGAGAAAGAACUAUUGCAGAACAAGAAUGGAAAGAAGAGAAGGAAAAAGCCAGGAGACAGAAAGAAGAGAAAAGACCUAGAGGAGAGAGGGAAGAGGAAGAGAGAGCCAAAAGAGAAAGAGAGGAAGAAGAGAAGGCAAAAAGAAAAAGAAAAGAGGAAGAGAGAGCUAGAAGAGAAAGAGAAGAGGAAGAUAGAGCUAAAAGGGAAAGAGAAGAGCAAGAAAGAGCAAGAACAGAGAAAGAAAAGGAGGAAAGAGCAAGAAUAGAGAGAGAAAAAGAAGAAAGAGCUAGAAAAGAGAGAGAAGAGGAAGAGAGAGCCAGAAGAGAAAGAGAGAAGGAAGAGAAAGCAAAAAGAAAAAGAGAAGAAAUGGCUAGAAGAGAGAAAGAAGAGGAAGAGAGAGCCAGAAAAGAAAUAGAGGAGGAAGAGAAAGCAAGAAGAAAGAGAGAAGAGGAAGAAAGAGCUACAAGAGAGAAAGAAGAGGAAGAGAGAGCCAGAAGAGAAAGAGAGGAGGAAGAGAAAGCAAGACGAAAGAGAGAAGAGGAAGAGAGAGCCAGAAGAGAAAGAGAGGAGGAAGAGAAAGCAAGAAGAAAGAGAGAAGAGGAAGAAAGAGCUAGAAGAGAGAAAGAAGAGGAAGAGAGAGCCAGAAGAGAAAGAGAGGAGGAAGAAAAAGCAAGACGAAAGAGAGAAGAGAAAGAGAGAGCCAGAAGAGAAAGAGAGGAAGAAGAGAAAGCAAGAAGAAAGAGAGAAGAGGAAGAAAGAGCUAGAAGAGAGAAAGAAGAGGAAGAGAGAGCCAGAAGAGAAAGAGAGGAGGAAGAAAAAGCAAGACGACAGAGAGAAGAGGAAGAGAGAGCCAGAAGAGAAAGAGAGGAAGAAGAGAAAACAAAACAAAAGAGAGAACAGGAAGAAAAAGCAAGAAUCGAGAGAGAAAAUGAAGAGAGAGCCAGAAGAGAAAGAGAGGAGGAAGAUAAAGCAAGAAAGAAGAGAGAAGAGGAAGAAAGAGCUAGAAUAGAGAAAGAAGAGGAGGAAAGAGCUAGAAGAAAGAGAGAAGAGGAAGAGAGAGCCAGAAAAGAAAGAGAGGAGGAAGAAAAAGAAAGAAAGAGGAGAGAAGAGGAAGAAACAGCAAGAAUAAGGAGAGAACAGGAAGAAAGAGCCAGAAGAGAAAGAGAGGAGAAAGAGAGAGCAAAAAAGAAGAGAGAAGAGGAAGAAAGGGUUAAAAGAGAAAGAGAGGAGGAAGAGAAAGCAAGAAGGAAGAGAGAAGAGGAAGAAAGGGUUAGAAGAGAGAAAGAAGAGAAAGCUAGAAGAGAAAGAGAUGAGGAAGAGAAAGCAAGACGAAAGAGAGAAGAGGAUGAAAGAGCAAAAAUCGAGAGGGAAAAGGAAGAGAAAACCAAAAGAGAAAGAGAGGAGGAAGAGAAAGCUAGGAGAAAGAGAACAGAAGAAGAGAGAGCUAAGAGAAAGAGAGAAGAGGAGGAGAGAGCCAGAAGAGAAAAAGAGGAUCAAGAGAAAGCUUGGAAAAAUAUAUAUGAGAUAGAGAAAGCAAGAAGAAAGAGAGAGCAAGAUGAAAGAGUCGAGAUAGAAAGAAAAGAGAGAGAAGAAAAGGAGAGAAUCAGAAGAAAGGAGGAAGAGGAAGAAAAAGCUAAACGAAAAAGAGAAGAGGAGGAGAAAAUAAGAAGAAAGAGAAAAGAGGAAGAAGCAGAAAAAUUAAGAAGGGAAAGAGAGGAAGAAGAAGAAGAAGAAAGAAUCAGAAAAGAAAAGGAAAUGGAAGAAUGGACGAUAAGGAAGAGGGAAGAUGAUAAACUAAGAGCUCUAAUCGAAAGAGAAGAAAUGGAAAGAAACACGAAACUGCGAGAACGAGAUGAAGAGAGAGGGGAAAGGAGAAUAAUUAUAAUGAGUAAAAGAGAAGACAAUCUGGAAACUCAAAUCAGAAGAGAAGUAAGGGAAAGAGACGUGACGCAACGAGAACAAGAUAAAGACAGAGAAGAAAAGAAAAUAAUGCUCAGUGAAGGAGAGGAAGACCUGAUCACAGUAUGGAAGAAAAAGGAGCAGCGGAACAUGUUAAGAAUACAGGAAGAGAGAGCAACACAAAGAAUGGCAUUUUUGAGAGCUAUAUGGAGGGAGGAGGAGGAAGAAGAGGCCAAGAGGAGAGAAGCAGAACUUAGGGAAAUGUGGAGGAGGGAAGAAGAGGAGGAGGAGGAAAGAUUAAAGCGAGAGGAAGAGGAGGAAAUAAAAAUCAGGUGUAGAGUAUCGGAGCUGCGAAGAAUGUGGCUUAGAGAAGAGGAAAGAAUUAGAAUAGAGGAGGAAAGGAGAGCACAAAGAAGGAGAGAGGAAGAAGAGAGAGCAAUAAGGAAAAGAAUAGAAGAAGAAGAGAGAGCUAAGAAGAGAGAAUCACAAUUAAGAGAAAUGUGGAUCAGAGAGGAAGAGAGAAUCCGCAGAGAAGUGGAAGAGAGAGCACGAAGGAAGAGGGAAGAGGAAGAGAGGGCAUUACGAAAGAGAAUAGAGGAAGAGGAAAGAGAGAAAAAAAGGGAAGCUGAAUUGAGAAAGGUGUGGCUCAGAGAGGAAGAAGUCAGGCUGAUGUGGAGAAGAGACGAAAGGGAAAAGAGCGAGAGGAGAAGAAAGGAAAAGAGAAGAAUGGAAGAGGAGGAGGCAAAAGCGAAAGAGAGAGAGGCUCGGGCAAGCGCCAUGUGGCAGAGAGAGGCAGAAUUGAUGUUGCUGUGGAAGACGGAGGAAGAGGAAAGUGCAAGGAUAAGAAAGGAGCAUGAGGAGCAAGUGAAGAGGAGAAAAGAGGAGGAGGAUAAGAUCAGGAGGAAGAGAGAGGAGGAGGAGAAGAGAGCCAGGGAGAGGGAGGAGGAACUAAGAAACAUGUGGAAAAGAGAGGAGGAACGAAAGGCAAAAUUGGAGAGGGAAGGAAAGGAAAGAAUAGAGAGGAAAACAAAUGAGGAAAACCUGAGCCGAAAGAAAGAAGAAGAGGCAAGGGCAAGAAAAAGAGAGCAACUCAGAAUCAUGUGGGAAAAGGAAGAAGAAGAGCGAAUCCAGAAAAAAAGAGAGGAGGUAUUAAAGGCCAAGAUAAUCAGAGAAGAAGAGGACAGGAAAAGGGAAAUGGAGGAGGAACAAGAGAGGGACAAGAAACAAAGGGAAGAAGAGGAGAGAGCUAUAUUGAUGCAGCUAGAGGAAAUAAUCGCUAAAAUAAAAGAGGAGAAGAGAGAAAAGGAACGUGAACUAUUGCAAGAACAGGAAAGGAAAAUAAGAGCUACGUGGAAGAGACGGGAGAACAGGACACAGGUGAUGGCGGUCAAGGAGUGGAGCAAAGUGGAGCAGCGGACGGAGAAAAGAGCGAGAAGAGUGGACGAGUGCUGGAGAGAGGAGGACGCGUGGUGGUGGAAGAAACCGCACGACGACUACAUAAACGCGUUGUUGGCCGACCUUCAGAACACCAUCACGCCCAGCCAGUCCGCCACUUCACCGUCCCCCGCCCACCACCACAAUGGCCACAAUAUGUAUCGCCAGGAGAGAGUGGAGGAAGUACGGACGGAGCAGCGGGUAAGCGAUGGUGGCCCCAAAAGUUCUGCCCUCAAUAACAACCUCUCGGAAUUAGACACUUUGCUGGAAGAUCUCAACCAUGCAAGAUACUCUGGCUUCAAAGAACCUGUUACCAACGGAGCUGUUAAUGGAUCGCGCCCCUCUGUUGACUCCCUGUUAGAUGAACUGAACAGUGUGGACACUAACAACCAUGAGGUGGUGGAGCAUCACACGGUACACAAGGAGUUUACCACCACGCACCAAACUCUGCCAUCCCGGGCGCCGCCGCCGCAGGUCACCCCUGUGCCGGUAGCUGUCUCGCGCCCCGUCGCGCCCUCCCAGGCGUCGGCCUCUUCUGCCACCAAGGAGUUGGAUGACCUCAUGGCGUCUCUCAGCGACUUCAAGAAACAGGAGAAGCUGCGCAGGCCCUGCUCUUGUGCGCAAGUUGAUCAACGCGAGCAGCCUACAGACCCAAGUAGACUCGGCCUACGCACGACCGCAAAAGCCCACCAAGAGCCCAUCUCCGCCUGCCCCUGUUCAAUCCUCAGCGUCACCAUUGAAGGAGUCUACACCUACGCCUAUCCCGAAGGAACCCACGCCUUCACCUACGCCCCCGCCGGCGAACCAGCUUGAUUCUAUGCUGGGCUCCCUGGCCAGCCACAUGACUGAGCAGGGCGUUACCACCACACAAAAGGGCUGCUGCACCGCCUGCGACAAACCCAUCGUUGGGCAGGUGAUCACAGCCCUGGGCAAGACCUGGCACCCGGAGCACUUCACAUGCACCCACUGCAAUCAAGAGCUGGGCACCAAGAACUUUUUCGAACGUGACGGCAGACCAUACUGCGAGCAAGACUAUCACGACCUGUUCUCUCCGCGAUGUGCUUACUGCAACGGGCCCAUCCUGGACAAAUGUGUAACAGCCCUGGACAAGACGUGGCACCCGAAGCACUUCUUCUGCACACAAUGCGGAAAUACUUUCGGCGACGAGGGCUUCCACGAACGCGACGGAAAACCCUACUGUCGGGAGGACUACUACAACAUGUUUGCUCCAAAAUGUGCAGGCUGCAAUUCACCCAUCAUGGAGAAUUACAUCUCUGCCCUCAAUGCCCAGUGGCACCCAGAAUGCUUCGUGUGCAGGGAUUGCCGUCAGCCCUUCAAUGGAGGGUCCUUCUUCGAUCACGAAGGAAUGCCCUACUGCGAGACACAUUACCAUGCCAAGCGUGGCUCCCUGUGUGCUGGGUGCAGCAAGCCCAUCACAGGGCGCUGCAUCACUGCUAUGUUCCGCAAGUAUCAUCCAGAGCACUUUGUGUGCUCCUUCUGCCUCAAACAGCUCAACAAGGGCACAUUCAAAGAACAGAACGACAAACCUUAUUGUCAUGCUUGCUUCGACAAAUUAUUUGGCUAAGGGAAUCACACCAGCAUCUCCAGUCAAGCUGUUUAGGCAGAUCUUGCUUUUUCUACUGCAGUCCAGCUCCCCAGAAUGAUGAAAAAACAAAUACAACAUGGGACUCAACACUGGAUUCAGGGAGAAAUAGGGAUUCAUACAGCAGUGUGAACAUUUUUGAGAAAUUUACAAAAAAUAGAAGGAUAAAAAAGUUUCAUAGUAAGUACAACACAGAAAAAUAUCAUCCUUUUGUCAAACUCCAUUGUUCUCUUUUUUCUAAUGUCAGUUAUUACUAUCUAUAUUUCUCUCAUCUUUACCUUCCUCUCCAUUAUCAUUGUCUUUGCUUUCCUUGUGAUCAUCUUUCUUUUCUAUUCCCAUACUAUCUGUAUUCUUAUGUCUACCCAUGUGUUCACAACCAUCACAUUUGUCAUCAUCAGUCCAGUAGUCCUUACCAUCAUUAUUAUUUGUACUCCAUCCACCGCUUGAAAUAUUUCCCACUCCUUUAUCAUCAUGUUCUUUGCUCAUGUUACCAGCUUUUACUUUAUUUGAUCUUCAAAACAAAUUUUGUAAUUUCAUGUCACAGAUCAUCCAUCUUAUGGAAGCAUGAUAGUAAUUGUGAAAUAACUUCACUUGGGAGAAAUGGUUUGUUGAUAGUAGCAGUAUGUCUUUGGCUUAAGUCCUUGCUUGAAAUACAGUUUCUUUACUUAAUAUAUAUUUUACUUAGUCAUAUAAUGCAAAUAAUAUUUUUCCGAGUUUAUUUACUGGUCAUAGGUGCUCUCAAAGUCAUCAGUCCUACAUAUGUAUUGAUGCUUAUCUCAAGUCUGUGGCUCAAACAUUAUUUAAUUAACAAAAUAAGUACUAUUUGCUUUACAGUUUCCUUGAGAGUAAGAGCUGAUAUUGAUUUUGCUAUAGAUUAAGGUUGAAUAUUAUUUUAUAAGAUAUUAUUGUAUUAAGAUAUAAUAAACAUGUAUGCUGUUUAUGGUGUGAAGCACAAGAAAAGAUUAUCUGCAUUUAUUUUCUGUGAAUGACCACAGUUUUAGUGUGACUAUCAAUAUCUUUUAAUAGCAUUGGAGGUCACAACUUUGUCCUCAGCUGAUUACUUGCUAAAAGUUUCAUUGUAAUUGUGUGGUGUUAUAACAAGUUGCUUUAAUCAGGAAAGUAACAUCAGUUGUGUAUGUAAUAACAUGAUUGAGAAAUUAACUAUUGUAGAUAUAAGUGUGGUGAAUGUUCAAGAAUGAUCAACCACUAAGAUGCUACUCCGUUUAUCUGCUAUGGUCCUUGAACUUCAUGAUCAUAACUGUCAAUUUCAAAUUGUCUGAUGUUUUGAUAUUUAUGAUAGAGAACAAAACCUUGAUUCAGAUAUUAUUAGAGACUAAAAUUAUGGUAAUAUUAGUAUGGAAUGCAUAAAAAAAAAAAUGAAGCACAAAAAGUAGCCUGUUUUUUGUGUUUUGAAUAGUAGUUCCUAUUGUUUUCCUGUGUCAGGGAUGCCAAUAUACCUUCAUCCCUCUUUAUCAAAACAAUGUUUGUAGGGCAUCAUAUAAGUGUGAGGAUGAAAUCAGAUGCUAAAAAUAUGCAAUGUUUCAGAUUAAUAUUUUCAGAAUAUGAGGAACCAUGGUAUGAUAGUAGAUUUUAUCGAGAUGAAGAAAGUGAGAGACAUAAUAUAAUCUUACUGCCUAUGGGUUUGCAUUUGAAACUCCCAAAUCUGCAAACUGCAAAAGUUGAGGUUAAAAAACUUUCAGUCCCAUUGAUAUUAACUGGAUUUGUGCAAUUAUUAGUGCAUGUAUGGAACACAUCUCCUGUAAGAACAACAUGUAAAUGCAUGCAUCUCCAUACUCAUAUAAAUAGAUGCUAUGAAUGAAACUUAUCAUGAAAUAUUAUCAUAUACAUUAAACUCAUCAUAGAAUGAAGUCCAUUAUGUCUGUUAUCAGAAAGGCAAGUCAAUUUUCAAGUGGAUUUCUGAUACCAGAGUAUAUUUUGGAGUAAGCCGAGUAGUGUGGUUCAAAUCAAAAGUUUUCCUUGUAUGUAGCCUUAUAACAGUGGAUUUUCUCCCAGAACAAUAAUUUAAUAUAUAUAUAUAUAUAUAUAUAUAUAUAUAUAUAUAUAUAUAUAUAUAUAUAUAUAUAUAUAUAUAUAUAUAUAUAUAUAUAUAUAUAUAUAUAUAUAUACAACACACACACACACACACACACACACACACACACACACACACAGAGCACUCCACAUUAGAAAGACUGUUUGCAUCACCCUGGCCAAAACUAAGAUAACUGUUUAUAGAACUAUUGAGUUCUUAACUUUCAUGUGAUCAUGGAUGAGUGUUCCAUUAAAGAAGAAAAGUCCAGCUACUCCAUUGAUAUAGAUGCAACACACUGCUGAACAAUAUUCUAUGUUGAAGGGCUGCCCGUUGAGGAUGAGUAGCCUUUAGAAUAGGGAAUUUUUUUCCCCUGGGUUAUAUCCAUAUUAGAAUGGUUGUUCAGCCAAUGCAGGAAGGGCAUCAGCCAAUCAAAGCACUCCUGGCCCAUUUCAAAACUCCCUUCAGCCAAUGGGAGGCCAGUGGUAGCUUGUCAUCAACAAUCCCUUUUGUUGUGGCAUUCUUUGCAUGUUUGGCAGUGGUGGCUACUGGUGAACUUUUACAAGUGUAGCUGGAGGAGUGAUCCUGGUGCCGCUGCAUAAUGUUCCCAUCAUUUUAUAUGUAUUGUUAAUAUUGUUUAUUUUGUUUUUCAUGUUACACUGUUUAUAAAGCAUCAUUAUCAUGUGCAGUAUUCAUCAACACUGCAUUAAACAUUCUCUAACUUCCAAAACCAUAACAUGAGUUGCAAUGAAAGUGCUUAAGUUUGACUGCAUCUUUUACUUUCAUUUAUUUAUUUAUUUAUUUAUUUAUUUUAUUUAUUUAUUUUUUUUGUGGGUGGAAAAGUGAACAUCCUUUCUGAUGUGGGCACCAUAUAUUGCUUAAGUUUGACUGCAUCUUUUACUUUCAUUUAUUUAUUUAUUUAUUUAUUUAUUUUAUUUAUUUUUUUUUUUGUGGGUGGAAAAGUGAACAUCCUUUCUGAUGUGGGCACCAUAUAUUGCUUAAGUUUGACUGCAUCUUUUACUUUCAUUUAUUUAUUUAUUUAUUUAUUUAUUUUAUUUAUUUAUUUUUUUUGUGGGUGGAAAAGUGAACAUCCUUUCUGAUGUGGGCACCAUAUAUAUAUAUAUAUAUAUAUAUAUAUAUAUAUAUAUAUAUAUAUAUAUAUAUAUAUAUAUAUAUAUAUACUGUCACCACACACACACACACACACACACACACACACACACACACCAGGUUUUCAUUCUAUUUCAAGUUUUUCAGAUAUCUGAAUUCACUAUAAAAAAAAAAAUUCUUCAGAAAGGCAACAAGAAUAGUUGAUAUUUUAGUUGCCUUCUAACUCCAUGCUCCACCAUUGAAAUUGUAAUGAUUUUAUCUGCAUCAUUUAUUCUGCAUUAUGCCUAGUUUUGCUCUGUCUGUUAAUAAAGGAAGUUUUAUGCA